AUUAAACGCUGGCGGCAUGCCUUACACAUGCAAGUCGAACGGCAGCACGGGGGCAACCCUGGUGGCGAGUGGCGGACGGGUGAGUAAAGCAUCGGAACGUAUCCUGGAGUGGGGGAUAACGUAGCGAAAGUUACGCUAAUACCGCAUAUUCUGUGAGCAGGAAAGCAGGGGAUCGCAAGACCUUGCGCUCUGGGAGCGGCCGAUGUCGGAUUAGCUAGUUGGUGGGGUAAAGGCCUACCAAGGCGACGAUCCGUAGCGGGUCUGAGAGGAUGACUCCGCCAC
rnacentral:rRNA from 1 species